rnacentral:rRNA from 1 species
AACGAACGCUGGCGGCAGGCUUAACACAUGCAAGUCGAACGAUGUAGCAAUACAUAGUGGCGCACGGGUGAGUAACGCGUGGGAAUGUACCAUUUGGUGGGGAAUAACUUUGGGAAACUAAAGCUAAUACCGCAUACGCCCGAGAGGGGAAAGAUUUAUCGCCAAAUGAUCAGCCCGCGUGAGAUUAGGUAGUUGGUGGGGUAAUGGCCUACCAAGCCUACGAUCUCUAGCUGGUCUGAGAGGAUGAUCAGCCACACUGGAACUGAGACACGGUCCAGACUCCUACGGGAGGCAGCAGUGGGGAAUAUUGGGCAAUGGAGGAAACUCUGACCCAGCCAUGCCGCGUGAAUGAUGAAGGCCUUAGGGUUGUAAAGUUCUUUCGCCGAUGAAGAUAAUGACGGUAGUCGGAGAAGAAGCCCCGGCUAACUUCGUGCCAGCAGCCGCGGUAAU